AGAAUGAGAAAGAUGGCCACAACUUCUCAUUUAUGCAAGAAGUUGGCAUAUCAAUGGGCUUUGGUUUUAUCUUUGGAUUUUGGGGAGUUAUUGGUUCAUUCAUACUGAAGAAAUCAUGGAGAAUUGCAUUCUUCAACUUGUUCGAUGUUGUUGGAGAUUGGUUCUACGUCAAGAUUGCUGUGUUUGUAUCCAAAUUGAGACGAAACUGAAAUACAGAGGUGGACAAGCUCGUGGAUAGUAGAAGGAGGAAGAACUAUAUAUUGCUUAUAAAUAGUUUGGGUACCUGAGUUAUAGUCUAAGGAUUAAGUGUUUUUUCUACUUUUAUCAAUGUUUGUCAUGUAUUUUAAUUAAUGAUGAUGUAAUAAUGUAAAUGCACUUAUUAUUGUCAAAUUAAGUAUUUUACCUUAUAUCA